CCAGUACCAGCUUCCUCUUCCUCCGGUUACAAGGAACAGGGAUCUAGCCUACGUCAUUUUUAUUGACAUCGUGCGCAUUUUAGCUUAGUAAUACCUUUAUAUGCAGACACGAAGGCGCUAAAUCUGCAAUAAAAUCCAAUAAAAUGUGAAAUCACAUGAAGCAAUUGGUGAAGACAAUGGCGCCGCGCUUACAGUUGGAGAAAGCGGCUUGGCGUUGGGUGGAAUCUGUAAAACCCGAAGACAUCGGACAGGAGCAUAUCGAGCUAGCGUACCGCAUCAGCCUUCCGGCCUGCAAGAGGGGAAACUGCAGGAGGAACUGCAAAGGAAAUCCCAACUGUCUUGUUGGGAUUGGUGAACAGACGUGGCUUGGGGAGAUUGAUGAAAAUGCUUUCCACAAUAUUGAUGACCCAAAUUCAGAGCGCAGAGAUAAGAACACGUUUGUUGGUUUGACCAAUCUGGGAGCAACAUGUUAUGUCAACACCUUCUUGCAAGUGUGGUUCCACAACCUUGAGUUGCGAAGAAGCCUCUAUCAGUGCUACAAUUCCCGUGCACAGGAACACAACACAGAGUCAGACUAUGAACCUCAGUCCAUUUGUGAGCAUCUGCAAUAUUUAUUUGCACUACUACAGAACAGCAACAGAAAAUACAUUGAUCCUUCAGGGCUGGUUAAAGCUCUUGGCCUAGACACUGGGCAGCAGCAAGAUGCCCAAGAGUUUUCAAAGCUCUUCUUAUCCUUGUUGGAGGAUACAUUGUCCAAGCAGAAGAACCCAACCCUGCAAAAUGUCAUUCAGCAGCAAUUCUGUGGACAGUUCUCCUAUGUAACUGUCUGUAACGAAUGUGGGCGAUCGUCUGCACUGCCCUCCAGAUUCUACGAACUCGAAUUGAACAUUCAGGGCCACAAGAACCUCACAGAGUGUGUUACAGAGUUCCUGAAGGAUGAGAAACUGGAUGGAGACAACCGUUACUUCUGUGAAAGCUGUCAAAGUAAACAGAACGCUACCCGGAGGAUCAGACUGCACAGUCUCCCGCCAACCCUCAACCUGCAACUCAUGCGCUUCGUCUUUGACAGACAAACAGGCCACAAGAAGAAACUCAACACAUACAUCAGUUUCCCUGAGCAACUGGACAUGGCGCCUUUUUUUGAAGUUACAAAAGAUCAGAAGUGUGUUUAUGAACUGAGUGCAGUGCUGAUCCAUCGUGGCAUCAGUGCCUACUCAGGGCAUUAUAUUGCUCAUGUGAAAGACGCUCGUACCAGCGACUGGUAUAAAUUCAAUGAUGAAGAAAUUGAAAGGAUGGAAGGCAAGAAGCUGCAGUUGGGUACGGAAGAGGAGAUUGCUGAAACUGUGAAGUCUCAGACACGAAAGCCCAAGUGCAGUAAAGGCUACCACUGCUCCAGAAAUGCCUACAUGUUGGUGUAUAAGAUCCAGGAAGAGGAAUCCUUGGAUCCCUCGAAGACAAUAGUUCAAGUGCCUGAGUUCCUUCAGAGGUUGGUGGACCAAGACAACCAUAAAUUUGAGGAGUGGUGCAGUGAAAUGUCAGACAUGAGGAAACAGAGUGUGGAUAAGGGAAAAGCAAAGCAUGAGGAAGUGAAGGAGCUAUACGAGCUUUUACCUGCAAGAGACGGAGAACCUUAUGAGUUUAUACCACUGGAUUGGUUGAAGAAGUGGUUGGAUGACUCUACUGCUACAAAGAAAAUUGACAACUUAGACUUCCUGUGUUUUCAUGGAAAACUGCAUCCAGACAGGGUGGGAGAUGCCAAGAGGGUUUCUCAGCAAGCUGGGCAGGUCUUGUACGAGCGUUACGGUGGAGGGCCAAGGCUGGAUGGCUCCACUCUAUGCCAAGAGUGUGUGGAACAGCGAUGCAGGGUGCUACGUCUAAAGAAUCAACUUAAUGAGGACCACAAGGAAGUCUCCAAUCUGGUCAAACGUACAGUCAGGAACCUGUGUUUUAAAAUCUCCUAACUCCCGUGGUUCCAAGCGUGUUCGUUUUCGUGAAAGAACUUCGUUCACAACAAUGUAUAAAAACCAACCAAUUUAUUCCUGACAGAGGAGUCUAUACAUUUGCAGAGCUCUGCGUUCGUAACUAUCCCUAUCUUAUCCUUAGCAGAUAAAGUAGUCGAGCAAAAACUAUCUGACUCUACCCCAGACUUUAUACAAUGUUUCAAACAGGCCAGUAUGGAAUCGCUGUCGUCUGAUUGGUCCGUAAUCUGACGUCAUCGUUGUUCUGCGGACCAUCUGAUCUGGCUCCAGACUUCUGCUCCAGGUGUCGCCUGCAGAUGUCGGCUCACAUUCCUGCAUUCAAUGUUUAUAGUGGCUCCCCGCAGUUCCUUUCUUCCUUGAGAUGUGUCUCCAAAUACCCCCCGAUGGGGCCAAAUACCCCUAUACUCCAAUACACAUUCUCUUCCAAACUAGUUAGAAUUACACAUUAGAAUAUAAAGUAUUCUAUAUUCCCUUCAAUCCCCCAAGUUGAUCUUCUGAUAAUCAGAAGAUCAACAACCUGUAUACCUACUACCGUUUUCACUACAAUACUCAAUAAACCUAAUCUAAGCACAGCAAAACAAAACUUUUAAUUUUAAAACUUUAAAGAGAGGAUACACCGGUAUCGUUCAAUGGAGCGAGCGAUUCCAUGGCCACCCUGUCCUUGUCCAGGGACAGCAGCUGAUAUUGGCCAUAGGGGUCCUUACCCACAAAGGCCUUGAGGACAAUUCUGAGAACCAGGUUCCUGAGACAAGGGAUAAUACAACAUCCACAAAUAGCAAACACAGCCAUGACAAUUAUGAUGGUAGUUGCCAAAGUCAGUAUGAGACCUCUCCAUUUACCAAACAUCCUAUUAAGCAGGCUAUAGAAUGGGUUGUCCUCCACUCCAGACAUUGAUUUAAGUUUAACAGACAUGGCUUGCAAACCUUUCAUGGCUCUGGUGAUCUUUCCGUUUGGCGCCGUAUUAUUGGGGAUAAUUGUACAACAAUGUCCUUUAAUUCGAGAGCAGGCACCCCCUUCUUCCCCUAACAUACUAUCAAGGACCAACCUAUUUUGGAAUGCCAUGAGAGAUGUAGCUGAUAGUUGCUCAUGGAUGUCCUCUGCUAGUUGGGAGGUGAAAUUCACCAAUCUUUGAAAAUUUUUAUUCGGAGUUACCCAUAUAAAAAUACUCUCAAGACCUGCGGAAAUUUGACAGCGAGCUUUAUACUCAUCCGGGACACCUCUGGGAAUUCCAAUGGCAUCCAGGUAGGUGGGGUCCUCACCUUCUUCCCAAGCAUUUCCACCCACGUUGAAGCCACUGACCAUACGGCGGAAACGGUUCAAGCUACCCCACCAGUCAUGCUCCUGUGUGAAAUCCGCCAUUUGAGUGAUUUCCUGCUCAGAGAGGGGCUUAAUCACUGUGGGAGCUAUCAUAGAGACCAAUGCACAAGUGCCUGUCCAUUCCCCGGGCAGGAAGUCCCACAACAGACCAUCCCCACACAUCCACCACAAAUCAGACCUCAUCUUACUUAAUCGGGCCGCAUCAUAAUAAUCCAUAAAAAGUGUAAUAUCAUAAAAUUUACAUAAAAAUAUAUUUACAUAAAAAGUAAAUAUCGUAUCCCGCCACGUCGCCCCAGCGUGCACAAUUUACCACCUUACACAAUUCAAAUUGGUAUACCGUCUUUUCCCCCAAUGUGUAGUUCAAUUCUAGGUCCCCUGUUGGCUUCACGGCCCUCUUGGUCACUCUUUCUCCUUGUAUUGAAGGCAUUCCAAAAUAGAUUCCUGUAACUAUAAUCAGGGAGAUCACCAGAGUCAUGAUUAUAACCUUCUUUGACCAGACAUACAGGAUGUACAUAUUUCCCUUUUGUUAAAUGACUAAUUUAACACCAAAACACAGUAUCCACACACAACCCCAUACACAAACCAGCAGGUCGUCUCCUUCCGUCGGAGAGGCCCCUGACCAGACCUGCAAACAAACCCUUAUAUAAAUUAAUCACAACUCUGCAAAAGAUACCCCUGCCAAAGGGAUGGACUACAUAAUUCCUGUAUACAUACUCCAGAGAAGGGACAAGUCGGCAAUUGUCACCCAACAUUGAUAUUAUUCCCCAACCAAUUGUUAAUUUGUCUCACAAAAGUGUUAAUGUCAAUAAACCAAGAAUCACAUAAAAUCAGCGUUAAGUCAGCACACCAACAUCAUGCAAUACACUAUCAAGCUCCAUCCUCCUGGGCGUCCUGUAAAAUAAUGUUAUUUCAACAAAUCAGUCUUUCAACAGUCUGUAGACCGUAUUCUCUCGUCAGUCACACUGUCAUUGGUAACUAAAGGUCUAUAGUCUCUUUCACGUGAUCACAUCCUUCACUACUCCUGUCAGCCAGCUCAGUAGUGCUCCAUUUCUGCUUUUAAUUAAGACGACACACACAUUAAACACAAAACAUAAACAACUAACAUGACAUGACAAUCGAGACUUCACAGACAAUAACAUUAACCUGGACCCAGGAGUGAAUGUCCUCUCACAUACACCACACAGGCAAAAAUGAACACAGCACACUUAUUGGUUGAACCAUAACACCUAAACCACUACAGACCAGGCUUCUAUCCAUUGCAUUAAUUAAACGAUCCUAUUGUAAAUCUCCCUGGCCCUUGCAAUACCAUAAACUCGUAAAACUCACACACCCCCGUCGUAAAGCUGGCCCCCCCCAGCUGAGGACGCCUGUGUCCUUUCAUUAACCAUUUGGUGCACCUUCACUUCAAGUGCUCUUUUAAGCACUCAUCCAUUUUCUGAGCCGCUUCUCCUGACUAGGGUCACGGGCGUGCUGGAGCCUAUCCCAGCUAUCAUCGAGCAGGAGGUACACCCUGGACUGGUUGCCAGCCAAUCACAGGGCACAUCCAAAACAAACAACCAUUCGCACUCACAUUCACACUUACGGGCAAUUUAGAGUCUCCAAUUAACCUACCAUGCAUGUUAUUGGGAUGUGGGAGGAAACCGGAGUGCCCGGAGAAAACCCACGCAGGCACGGGGAGAACAUGCAAACUCCACACAGGCGGGGCCGGAGAUUGAACCCCGCUCCUCAGAACUGUGAGGCUGACGCUCUAACCAGUCGGCCACCGUGCAGCCACUCUCUAAGCAAUAUAUAUCAAAUCCCAUUCACCAGCUCAGAUAGCAACUUGUGCACGUCAUUUAUUCAAACUCCGAAGCGUUUUCUUAGACCACAAACCUCCCGUACUGUUUUCAGGCUUUUAUCCCAGGCACGCAGAGCCGCUCUGGUCCGCUCUGCUGACCCGGACAUAGAAAGUCACGAUGCCACUCUGGCUUGAUCCCAUCCGCCGGGUACACGCGUAAAUUUAUCUAUUAUUUAAUUUAUCUUCCAGAAUAUCAUAUGCAUACCUAUUUAUACAUACAAUAUGUAUGCCUUAUUUAUUUAGUUAAUAAAUAUAAUGGGUACCCUUUGAAGCGCUUUAUAACUUUUUACAUAUAUAGUCAUAUAAUUGUAUUCAUCAAAGUUCUAAGGUUUACUUUAUAUUCUGUACACAAUUUAUAAAACGUAUCGCACCGAAUAUUUAUACCAUUCACACUUAGUCCACGUUUUUUUUUUUUUUACAAUAGAGGCCUGCGCAGGACAUGUUUGGGACAAGUAGAAUCACUUGUCCGAUCUGAUUACUUGUGGAAGCUCAUACGUCGGAAUAUAAUGGUUAACCAGCACUUUGUCGACAGACGGCACGUUUUCUUUUGAACAAGGAUAGCCUUUGGGCCAUCCAGAAAAAGUGCAGACAAUCAUUAAUAAGUACCUUAUGCUUUGGACUGGGACCACCACAUAAAUUCGGGCCUCGGCCCAUCUCAGUGUGUUGCAAUUCCCUCUUCGUUGUAGGGCAAACACUGAAAUCUUGACAUAUAUCACAAAAAAAAAACAAAAAAACACAAACAUCUUUUACCUUACGCAGAAGAUAAGGGUGCCACCAAAAGCGCAGCUUCUUCAGCAUUGACACAUAACUUUCCUGUAGGUAACAUCAGUCUCCUAGGUUCUCCUUGUCAUCAUACUCAGCACCUGUCUCUUGCCACUUACGCUUGUCUUCCUUUGGCGCCGCCUCCUGGAGGUCGCGCACCACAUCAACUGUCACUGCAGGGAGAAAGUCAAUCAACUGAUCCCGUUUAACAACAUAGUUACCUUCAGCAUCCUUUCGAUAGCCUGCUAUUUCUUUCGCCGCCGCAUCCGCUGCGCCAUUCCCCGAGUAGCCCGCUUUCGCAUGUCCUGGACACUUGACCACAGCUACCUCCACUGGCCUAUCAAUAGCCUCACUCAGUCGUUGAAUCAGCUCUGCGUGGGCCACUGGGUCACCAGUGGACGUAACAAAACCCUGUCGCCUCCAUGCAGCCAGAUCAACAAACAAACAUCCCACCACAUACGCCGAAUCAGAAUAAAUAGUAACACUCUGACCUUUAGAUAACUCUAGUGCCCUGCACCAGGCCAGCAGUUCUGCAGCUUGAGCGGAGGGUUUCAUAACAUCAUUUAUGGACCAAAGCCUUGGGAUUUCAGAAUUUGGGUUUCCGCGAUAUCUUCUAUGGCCUCUUGUUUACAAGGAUACUACGGCACGUUAACAAAAGCAGUUGGGUUUACCUCGAAUGUUACCGGAGUCACGGAUGUACACAGACCCCCGUCUGCAGGACCCUCGGACCACAAUGAGUCCGGCAGAGAGCUCAACAGCUGUGCGGCGUCCUCAUGGUCCGAGAGUUCUCUGCCAUGGAAUCGUGCUAAAGUCACAUGCUCCAACACCCCUCCUUCCACCAUGGUACCUUGAAUACAAAAACAUUCAGUACUAGGAGAGUACAACACAUUGGGUAUUUAAUCUUGUUGCCAAUCAUUUGCCAAAUGGCAUUUUCUCACCAUGGGUCCCAGUUCUCAGGCUUUAUGACCUAGUGCAAGUGAAAAAGUGUGGAAAAGAUGUCAAACUCAUCAUAAACCACUCACUCUGCUCUGGCGUCAAGGUGGAGGCCGCUGCCACACCUUGCUUCCCUAUGUAAAUACUUUUACUUAUUGAGCAUCCCAUUUUCCCCGUUUUGGCUCAAAAGCUUCUCUGUAAACCAAAUCGUCAUUUUUAUCAUAAAACAGUGUGAGAUGGAGAGGAUCAAUUGGAGGAUGAUAGGGGGCAAGAGAGUCGAUCCAGGACUUCCGCCGCAGGAAGGCCGAGUAAACUCCGCCUCCCUCCUUUGUUUCAGGUUUUAGUCGGGCCCAAUAUAUGUCAGCAGUUGCUUCCGGAAGUUCAUGUUGUAUCAUGUUCCAUCCGGAGGAUAUCUUAUGUCCACAGUUCAUCAUGGUCCCAUCGGGGAACCGUAUCGUCAGUCCAUCCGGGCUACAAAGGAUGGUAGCCCUGGUCUUGAUAAGCAGAUCUCUGCCCAUCAGGUUCACUGGAGCCCCUCUUUUCAUGAAGACAAACUGAUGUUCAUGUGUCUGUCCAGCAAUUUCAGUCUUUAGAAGAAGAAGAAUCAUCUUUUAUUGUCAUGAACAUGCAUGCAUGCACACAAAAUUUGUUCUCUGCAUUUAACCCAUCACAGUGAACACAUACACAUGUUAGUGGAACACACUGGAGCAGGGGGCAGCUGAAGCGCCCGGGGAGCAUUUCGGGGUAUCAGUGUCUUGCUCAAGGACACCACAGCCGUGAGUCCGGGGGAUGUUGGCGGAUGGUCCAGUCGGGGUUUUGAACCUAGGUCCCCCACGGUGGCAGGCGAUGAUCUUAACCAUUGGGCCACAGCUGCCCCAAUUAAUGGUGUCGUAAUCGGCAGACUCAUGGGCACCCCUGCAAAGCCCAUUAAGGUGGUCGUCCUCCCUUAGCGGGGAUAAGAGGCUCUGUCUUUCCUCCGUCCCCUGGCUCCGGGCUCAUUGGGCAUUCGGACCAGUCCUCAUCGCAGUAGUACUGGCGAGAUGGCUCUUGUUGCUGUGGAGCCUGCUGCGGAUGCUGUUGCCGGGCCGCGCCCACCUCUCCCUCGUGAAGCUUUGUAGCCUCCUCUUUGAGGUGUGGCCUCUCCGGGUUCCACUGGAGGUCGUUGUUGAAUCAUUGGGUAAACAGUACAUUGGCAAUCCCAGUGUCUAUACUGACCACAAUUGAAGCACGCUUGGUCCGUUGGAGGUCGGCAAGGGCUUCCCCUGCCUCCGUUGGUGUCCUCUGUCACGACUCCCGCCUCGUCUCCUCGUUGACCCCUGCGCCAUCCACAUCUCUUUUUCUGCUUCCAUUUUUAUUUAUUUAUUUAAUUUUUUUAAUGGCCACUUUACGGGCCUGGGCCAAUUGUAGCUUCAAAAGUUGUUCCCGCAUGUCCUUUAUCUCAUCUGAUGAUUUGUGUUUUCUGUCGACAAAAAGUUUCAAAUGGUGUGACACAUGACAAUUAAAAAAGCUAUCUCCCCCUUUCAUGAGGUCAGGGUCUUUAAAAAGUUCAGUCCUAACUUCAACCGGCAAGGUCUCAAGUAAAGCUAUUCUAUAAAUAAGAUUUGCCUCUCUUAAACGGGAGGGAUGUGAUCCUGUCUUAUCUGUCCAAAUACUUAUGCAAUGUUCGAAGUGAGAACUGGGAUCCAUGAGAGGUUUGAAGUCCGGAAGCUUCGGCACCGUUGGGGAAGAGGACGGGAACAUGUCACACAGCAAAUACUAUAGGAGCAAAAGGGGCAAAUAAAAUUUCAGGUUCGACAUUAUUCAGACCCGACCAUGUCAAAAUAUCAUCCGAUUGGUGAACCGAAAUGCAACAGGCGCGUAUCAAUCUCACUAUGUCACCACACGCCAGGCUCAUGUUGUCCGUCAACUUUUUCAGCCCCUGGAUCCAAAUUACACCAACAGCAGCCAGUCCGGGCAGCCGUUUCUGUAAAAACUCAAAAAUUUUUAAAGACAAUUUUUGUACAUUUACCCACCUUUUUGAAUGCGCGCUCGUGCGGAAUUGAUAGGAGUUUUAUUUCCCCUCUACAAUUGGUCUGCCAUUUGAGCAGCUCCCUUGACCGCCAAUGCCGGUUAUAGUGACGUCACUGGGGCCGUUUUCGGAAAGGUCCGUAAAUUGUAUUUAGCGGGGGAAUUUGUCACUCUUUUUUUUUUUUUUUUCGCUGAACAGCUGCCAUGGCAGGGCACACCACACAAAUAUCAUACAUUUUUCUACUCAAUUUUUCAUUCUCUUCUAUUUUCUUAUUCAAGUCUCUUUUCUCUCUCCACCCUGCAGCAUCCAACUUUUCCUUCCUCUUUGUUUCCCUUUCAGAAUAACUUCUCUGUUACGUGAAACAACUUACAUUCCUUUUUCUUUUCCACUUUGCCCACACACUUCUUAAUCCUGUUUGUUUCUUUUUCUGCCUUUCUCUUUCAAUCCACAAAUCCGACACAUAUCACAUUCAUUACCUCGACACUCGACUGUCCAAUUCACAACCCCGAGUUUUGGUGGCACACUCAUCUUAUUCUAAAUCGGUUUUUGGGGGUCCCAAAAUCCCCAACGUCUACCGAAACGUUACAAUUUGAAACCGCGUCCGAUUUCAAGUCAGUCUACGGCGGGACAAGUAGGUACCUUGUUACCCUACUUCCAGGAUUUUCUCUGAUCCUGGUCUGUCAGGUACCUUGUUACCCUGACGUCAGGUACCUUGUUACCCUGACGUCAGGUCCUCCGUUACCCUGACUUUUAAUUAUGCAAUUUUAACAACACAACGUCUUAUUAACUAUUGACAACAAAACAACUGUACCACAAGUCUCCCAAAUUUCGCAAUUUCCAAUGUGCAGAAUUCGUGAUAUUAUCAAACAGGCUUCUGCUCACCUUUUUUAUUUCGGUGCACCGGGGAGAUUUGCAGUCCAACUGAAUUCCUGUCCGCUCCUCUGUCUUUUUACGUCGGGCUCACCGUUUAAAGGAACCUGUGUUUUAAAAUCUCCUAACUCCCGUGGUUCCAAACGUGUUCGUUUUCGUGAAAGAACUUCGUUCACAACAAUGUAUAAAAACCAACCAAUUUAUUCCGGACAGAGGAGUCUAUACAUUUGCAGAGCUCUGGGUUCGUAACUAUCCCUAUCUUAUCUAUAGCAGAUAAAGUAGUCGAACAAAAACUAUCUGACUCUACCCCAGACUUUAUACAAUGUUUUAAACAGGCCAGUAUGGAAUCGCUGUCGUCUGAUUGGUCCGUAAUCUGACGUCAUCGUUGUUCUGCGGACCAUCUGAUCUGGCUCCAGACUUCUGCUCCAGGUGUCGCCUGCAGAUGUCGGCUCACAUUCCUGCAUUCAAUGUUUAUAGUGGCUCCCCGGAGUUCCUUUCUUCCUUGAGAUGUGUCUCCAAAUACCCCGCGAUGGGGCCAAAUACCCCUAUUCUCCAAUACACAUUCUCUUCCAAACUAGUUAGAAUUACACAUUAGAAUAUAA